rnacentral:rRNA from 1 species
UACGGAGGUCUCGAGCGUUAAUCGGAAUUACUGGGCUUAAAGGGCGCGUAGGCGGCGCUGUAAGUGCUUUGUGAAAUCCCAUGGCUUAACCAUGGAAUUGCUCGGCAGACUGCAGUGCUUGAGGUUGGUAGGGGUCGCUGGAACUCUAGGUGGAGCGGUGAAAUGCGUAGAUAUCUAGAGGAACGCCAAAGGUGAAGACAGGCGACUGGGCCAAUUCUGACGCUGAGGCACGAAAGCGUGGGGAGCGAACGGG